CUGACAUCAGACUCCAGUGUCUCCGGGAUCCAGUGGACAUUGAAGAUCGGUAGCUCUCCAGGAGUCUUCAAAGCACCAGGUUUGGAAGUGCUGAGGCUUCUGACUUUGUAACCUGAACAACUCCCAGGUUCCAGCCAUUGUUGGACUGGGCUGUGUGGACCCAUCCAGCACACUCAGGUGAUAACAGGAGAUGGAGAAGUCAGAGGGAAGAAAGUCUGUUUCCCAGGCCAGAGUGGAGAAUGGCAUGGAGAACCCAGGUCUCGAGCUCAUGGAAGGUGGAAAUCUUGCGCAAAGAAACACACUAGAGGAAGUGACACAGGGACUCAGCCUGGAGGAUGGCUUGGGUCAUUCCUCUCUCUGGAGGUAAGGGUGCUCUGGAUUCCAGCUUAGUUAUCAACCAAGAACCUGUGGGUGGGGGGCAGGGAAGAAAAGUGCCUGAGAACAGAUCAAAGCUACUCAUUCUUAGAUUGCUUAACUCACAGUCAGGACCAGGAUCACUGCAUGUUACUACAUAAGCAUGUGUAUUUUAUAGAAUUAACUGAAUGUCAGCCCAUGACUUAGACAAUCCCAUCAGUGCCUGCCGGGGCAACACUAAGAAAAGAAUAGCAAAGGCAACAACAUUCAAUGGAUAACAUUGAUUGAGCACUACUUUGAUGAACAGAGUACAUUUUUGUAGACACAAAAUGUCGUCCUUUUGUUAGCAGUUUAACAGUUAAUAAUGUAAAUUCUAUGGUCAGUCUGCUUAGAGCCAUAGCUGAACUUGGCCCAGGAAUGUCCUGGUUCGUUUGUUUUGUUUUGUUUUUCUUGUUUGGGUUUGGAUCUUUGCUGUUCUCUUCUUUUUCUUUCUUCUCUUUGCUUUUUGAUAAAAUGUUACUAAGCAGUUAUAGCUGGCUUGGUACUCAUUUAUAAGCUAGGGUGCCCCGUUGGAUUUACUGAUAUGCUCUUGCCUCAAACUCCUGAGGGCUGGGAUUAAAUUCUUGCUGUUAAGUACAUGAGUGGAAUUUCAUGCUAGUCUAGUAUUACACAACUGUCAACUCUGUACCUUGAAGGCUGAUACAGGAAGAUGAGUUCUGGUCUUAAUGAGUGUAAGAAUAGCCUGGAUGCUCUUUCACCCCUCACCCCCCAUCAAAGUUACUUUUUCCUCUUUAAGCAUAAUUUAGACAUGAAUGUUAUUGAUAUUUUUUGCUUACCUGCCAAGGAUGAUUACCACUUGGCACACUAGUGUGCUGAUCUGAGACCUCCACCAUCCCACACAGCAGGACUAAUGAUCCUCAAGGGCUUGAACUCUUUAUUUUUGUAUGUGAGUGCACUGUCGCUUCUUCAGACACAACAGAAGAUGGCAUCAGAUCCCAUUAAGUGUGAGUCACCAUGUGGUUCCUGGAAUUGAACUCAGGACCUUUGGAAGAGUAAUCAGUGCUCUUAUCCACUGAGCCAUCUCUCCAGCCCACGUUUGAACUCUUUAAAUUCUUGUAGAGCUUCCCACUUCCCACUCAGGCUUAUUCUCCUCUCCUUCUGAACAUGCCUUGCUCGUCAUCCACUGCGAUAGGUGCGGGACUUAUGCCCUCAGUCUCCUGUUCCUCAGUUAUUCAAAUAGCACCUAUAAUUUUCCUUGC
rnacentral:lncRNA from 1 species